AACCACAGCAAUACCACCUUGUCGAUGCCCAAUCUUGUCUGAUCUCGGAAGCUAAGCAGGGUUAAGCCUGGUUAGUGAUGGAAAGAAGAACACUGGAAAUACCAGGUACCACAGUGGGGU
rnacentral:rRNA from 1 species